AUUACUUGCGUGGCCUUCUUCCUUUCCUCCAUCUGUUGUUCAAAAUCUUCAGGUGAAAAAUUGGUGAUUCAGUUUCUUAUUUAGAUAUCAUUGGAAGUUAGAACAUUUAAUUAAUACAAUAUAUAAUCAUGGUUGUGAAGCAGCUCAUCUGAAGUAAAAAGGCUAAGUCUCCUCCGCUCGAGCCAAGAUCGCUCAGAUUCGAUCAGCGUUGACAUGACGUGGGGGUUGGUGAGAAGAGGGUAGCGAUUGGCGAGGGAGUGUUGGAUGGAGAGAGACGGUGGCGCGUGAGAGGCGGGGUCGGAGUGGUGGAGGGCGUAGGAGAGUAAGGGGAAGAUCUCGAGAUCGUGAUCCAUCUUUUUAUUCUCUGUUUUGUUGGUCAAGGGAGGUCGAGGAUCUGGGUUCAUGUCUGGUUCGAUGUUGGUUGGUGUGGCUGUGACUGAUUCGAAUCCUUGAUCUGGUUCGCGGUGGUGGUUUGAGCCGGUUCAGAUAUGGGGAUUAGAUGUUCUUUCGGAUCUGGUUUGUAGCUUGUCAAUCGACGCUCAUGGAGCCCAAUGGAUUCAGUUCGUCUCUCUCCUCCCUCUUUAUCUAGUUAAUAGUCAAGUUGUGUUCGUUUGUGGGUUGGUGUUGUCUUGUCUUCUUCGGAGUUCAGCUGUGUGUGAAGCUAUAUCAACGGGUCAUUAUAUGGCGGGGCUAUGUAUUCCGGGUAUGGCUUUGUCGAUGCUGUGCUUUCCGCUAGUCGUAGCUGCGGAACUGGGGGGCUCCUGCUUCUUCUCGUUCUCUCGAUCUUUCGGUGGUGUGUGUUUGUCAAAGUCUCUUUUGUGGGGUUCGUCUUUUGGAUGGUAAGUUGCUGUGGAGGUAUCUACUUGCUUUCUCCUUGCCGUCAUGGUGUGGAGUGAGGUUUCAAGACGAAGCAGUGGUUUCGAUCUCUGGCUCUUCUCUUGCGAGGAGGUGACCAUUCUCUUGCUUGUAGAUGGUUGAGUUUGGGUACACGAGUGUCCGCGUGUUUGAGCCGUUGGUCCUUUUUGACGUUAUCCCUUCUUGGAGUUUCAAGUCUCGAUCUUGUGCUUUGCUCUCGCGAGGAUCUGGUUUGUCGUUGUAGAUGAGUGGUUAGUAGUUAUUGGCUUUAUGGUGGCUUUUGUCUUUCGUUCGUUUUGGCCGUGACUGUAAUCGUGAGUUUGUGGUUUCGACCUGUGGUGGUUUAUGGUCCUCUCAAGUUCUGGGUUCUGGGUUCAGCACGUGCUUUUCCAUUGUCUUCAGAAUGAUCGUUUGUCAGUCCUCGCUAUGGAGUUUGAUUCUGGCUCCUUAAGUUCCUAAGUGUUUAAACUACACCCUCUCUUAGCUUGCUUUAGUUAAUUUGGUCUUUGUUUAAUCUCGUGUUUCUUGUUGUCUCCGGGAUGUUCGAUCUGUGAACUCGCCGGCUUAGUCUCCGAAAGGAUUGCGAUCCUUGUCGGCUUUGCGUUGUACGAUCGGUUUCGAAGGUUAUAAUAAAUUCAUAGAUGACAAAAAAAAAG
rnacentral:lncRNA from 1 species